rnacentral:rRNA from 1 species
UACGAAGGGGGCUAGCGUUGUUCGGAAUGACUGGGCGUAAAGGGUGCGUAGGCGGAUGGCACAGUCAGAUGUGAAAUUCCUGGGCUUAACCUGGGGGCUGCAUUUGAUACGUGUUGUCUGGAGUGAGGAAGAGGGUCGUGGAAUUCCCAGUGUAGAGGUGAAAUUCGUAGAUAUUGGGAAGAACACCGGUGGCGAAGGCGGCGACCUGGUCCUUGACUGACGCUGAGGCACGAAAGCGUGGGGAGCAAACAGG